GACGAACGCUAGCGACAGGACCUAACACAUGCAAGGUCGAGGGGCAGCACGGUGUAGCAAUACACGGGUGGCGACCGGCGCACGGGUGAGUAACGCGUAUGCAACCUGCCUACUACAAGGGGAUAACCCGUUGAAAGACGGACUAAUACCCUAUAACACAGGGAAUCCGCAUGGAUAUAUUUGUUAAAGAUUUAUCGGUAGUAGAUGGGCAUGCGUUCCAUUAGCUUGUUGGUGAGGUAACGGCUCACCAAGGCAACGAUGGAUAGGGGAACUGAGGGGUUGAUCCCCCACACUGGAACUGAGACACGGUCCAGACUCCUACGGGAGGCAGCAGUGAGGAAUAUUGGUCAAUGGACGAGAGUCUGAACCAGCCAAGUCGCGUGAAGGAAGACGGCCCUACGGGUUGUAAACUUCUUUUGUAAGGGAAUAAAUAGUCUUACGCGCUAAGACGUUGCAGGUACCUUACGAAUAAGGAUCGGCUAACUCCGUG
rnacentral:rRNA from 1 species